UGAUGAUAAACCGAUCAAAUUUCUGCCCUAUCAUACUUUGGACGGUAAUGUAGUGGAUUACGGUGGUGAUGACGGGUAACGGAGAAUUAGGGUUUGAUUCCGGAGAGGGAGCAUGAGAAAUGGCUACCACUUCCAAGGAAGGCAGCAGGCGCGUAAAUUACCCAAUCCUAAAAACAGGGGAGGUAGUGACGAUAAAUAACAAUGAUUCAAUGAUAACAAAGUUGAAUUAAUUGGAAUGAGAACAAUAUAAAUCCCUUAUCGAGUAACAAUUUCAGGGCAAGUUCUGGUGCCAGCAGCCGCGGUAAUUCCAGCUGAAAAAGCGUAUACGAAUAUUGUUGCAGUUAAAACGCUCGUAGUUGGAAUAAAACAUGGUUUUCUAUUUUUUUAUUUUAAAACGGUAAAAAGUAUAGAAUAUC
rnacentral:rRNA from 1 species